AGAGUUUGAUCAUGGCUCAGGAUGAACGCUAGCUACAGGCUUAACACAUGCAAGUCGAGGGGCAGCAUGGUCUUAGCUUGCUAAGGCCGAUGGCGACCGGCGCACGGGUGAGUAACACGUAUCCAACCUGCCGUCUACUCUUGGACAGCCUUCUGAAAGGAAGAUUAAUACAAGAUGGCAUCAUGAGUCCGCAUGUUCACAUGAUUAAAGGUAUUCCGGUAGACGAUGGGGAUGCGUUCCAUUAGAUAGUAGGCGGGGUAACGGCCCACCUAGUCUUCGAUGGAUAGGGGUUCUGAGAGGAAGGUCCCCCACAUUGGAACUGAGACACGGUCCAAACUCCUACGGGAGGCAGCAGUGAGGAAUAUUGGUCAAUGGGCGAGAGCCUGAACCAGCCAAGUAGCGUGAAGGAUGACUGCCCUAUGGGUUGUAAACUUCUUUUAUAAAGGAAUAAAGUCGGGUAUGCAUACCCGUUUGCAUGUACUUUAUGAAUAAGGAUCGGCUAACUCCGUGCCAGCAGCCGCGGUAAUACGGAGGAUCCGAGCGUUAUCCGGAUUUAUUGGGUUUAAAGGGAGCGUAGAUGGAUGUUUAAGUCAGUUGUGAAAGUUUGCGGCUCAACCGUAAAAUUGCAGUUGAUACUGGAUAUCUUGAGUGCAGUUGAGGCAGGCGGAAUUCGUGGUGUAGCGGUGAAAUGCUUAGAUAUCACGAAGAACUCCGAUUGCGAAGGCAGCCUGCUAAGCUGCAACUGACAUUGAGGCUCGAAAGUGUGGGUAUCAAACAGGAUUAGAUACCCUGGUAGUCCACACGGUAAACGAUGAAUACUCGCUGUUUGCGAUAUACUGCAAGCGGCCAAGCGAAAGCGUUAAGUAUUCCACCUGGGGAGUACGCCGGCAACGGUGAAACUCAAAGGAAUUGACGGGGGCCCGCACAAGCGGAGGAACAUGUGGUUUAAUUCGAUGAUACGCGAGGAACCUUACCCGGGCUUAAAUUGCAGAUGAAUUACGGUGAAAGCCGUAAGCCGCAAGGCAUCUGUGAAGGUGCUGCAUGGUUGUCGUCAGCUCGUGCCGUGAGGUGUCGGCUUAAGUGCCAUAACGAGCGCAACCCUUGUUGUCAGUUACUAACAGGUUCCGCUGAGGACUCUGACAAGACUGCCAUCGUAAGAUGUGAGGAAGGUGGGGAUGACGUCAAAUCAGCACGGCCCUUACGUCCGGGGCUACACACGUGUUACAAUGGGGGGUACAGAGGGCCGCUACCACGCGAGUGGAUGCCAAUCCCAAAAACCUCUCUCAGUUCGGACUGGAGUCUGCAACCCGACUCCACGAAGCUGGAUUCGCUAGUAAUCGCGCAUCAGCCACGGCGCGGUGAAUACGUUCCCGGGCCUUGCACACACCGCCCGU
rnacentral:rRNA from 1 species